rnacentral:lncRNA from 1 species
AAUAAGAAGAAUGUUAUGUGAUAUUCUUCGACAAAUUGAACACAAACUCAAGUAAUGGUUUAAUUUGGGUGGAAAUCUGCAGCUAAAUUACUUGAACAACUUGCAUCCAUGCUCUUCUUUCUCGUAAACUAUUGAUUAAUUGGAACUCAGAAUGGCAGUGUGACACCAACAACACAGAAUCAACUUCACAGUGUCACAUGAGUUCUUAGUCUGUAAUGAAAACACCAGUUACGUCCUAAAACAAGUGAUGUAACAUUUGCAUGACAACAAAGCACACAGAAGGUACAAUGGAGGUAACAGGUCAAAAUAAAAUAUGCAUAGCUUCCAAACUGAGAUAUUCAGUAAAAUAUUCUGAGACGUUCCAUCAUUCAAAGUGACUAAAAAGAGAGAAAGGGUCAAAUAAAGUUGCCCACUUUUACUAGUCCAUUCUACAAAAGUACCACACUAUGUGUACCUGUGAUUUUUUUACCUCUAAUGGAAGUGUUUUGAUAUUAUUUGCCCCAGCAGAAUUAGAUCUUCUGGAUUUUUAAGUGAUUAAGAUUCCUUCCCUAUAUGUUCAUUCACUGACAGUAGGUACUAUUCAACAAUGAUCCUCUGGUAUCUGCAAGUUCAUCACCACAGGAGCACAUAAUAAGGUACCAAAGAUUCAAAACAUUACAAGAAAAGACAGGAAGCAAAAGAAUAUCAGGUGAUGCUCCACUUGAUUCAGGAAGUAAUAAAAUACCUUUUUCAGCCUUUUGGCUAAGAUCAAGUGUCAUUCAGGGAGUCAAGUUAGAAGAGUUUAAAACCAUGAAAAUGAUCUUGGUCUCACAUACGUGCAUAGAUAUAUGUAAUACAAUUACAGGAAAAUUACUUUAGUCACAAAACAAAGGAAAAGUAAAAUCAAUGGAGGAACUGUGUAUAAAUUGCUUAAAUGACAAUGAUUUUGUUUUGCAUGUAAUUUCAGUCUCAGGAAAUUACAUUGUACAAGUCAAUACAUGACAAUCUUAACAAAUAAUUUGAUAAACCAAAUAUACCUUUAGCAGCUCAUGACUUGCACAGAGCAUUCCAACUCUAGUUCAUGCACAUCAUGGUAAAAAUAUUCUGCUUUUAUCCACAAGUUGAACUAACCAAUGAUUAUAGUUUACCUUUUGCAAACCUGUGCUAUCCAUCAUCCUGACCAGUAACAAUUAUGGACUUUGGCAUGGUCAUGGGCAUAUCAGUUAUC